rnacentral:lncRNA from 1 species
UACCGACCUCAGAUGCUUUGGUGUAGUUUCAGAACGCUGACACACACACACACCUUGGCUCCUGGCACACCCUGGCCUGUACGGGCACCCAUGUGGCUGGGUGCUCAGCAGCAGCUGAGGGCUGCAGUGAGCAGGGAACAGGGCCAGCCUCCUCUUCAGCCGAAUGUUGGUCAGCAGCUCUGACACCAAGUGCUGCUCCUUCAUGUUGUUCUUCGGCCAGGUCCAGCUUGGAGUCAAAUUCCGCACAAUGAUCUGGGACGUGAGAGGUACAGAAGGACGUGCUGUCUUCUCUGGGGUGAGUUGCUGGGAGGUCUGCUGCUGCUGCUUGCACUGAAAGGAGCCGACCCUGACCAGCGCCAAGCUGCCGUGUUCAGAGCUAGUGGUCAGAGGUGGGCUGAACAGGGACUCUGGAGAGGCCGGGACCCGAGCUGCGGAUUCUGGGGAAAUUUCUACUGAGGUCAUGGGCUGAAAGAGAACACAGUCUACAAGGAGAUUGUGGAAAGGAACAGACUCCUUCCUGUGCUAUUCUUGGGUGAAACAAACAGAAUUGUUAAAAUGGUCAGUUAAGAGCUGGGACCUGGCAUGAGGCUGAGAGUGUUAACUUAAGCUUUUGACCACACAAGGACACAAUGAACAGGCCUGUGAAAAAGUCAAAUCCACCAGCACUUUGAACAUGGACUUUCCAGGUCCCAGAGCUCUAAGAAAGAAAUUUCUGUGGUUUAUAAGCUCCCAAGCCUAAGGCGUUUUGUUCUAGCAACGCAAACAGCCUAAGACAAACUUCUUAUCAGACAUGCGGCCUGCAAAUAUUUUCUCCCAUUCGGCAAGCUGCCUUUUCACUCUGUUGAUUGUUGCCUUUGCUGUGCAGAAAUCUUAAGUUGGAUGUAGUCUCUUUUGCCUAAUAUUGUUUUUGCUGCUUGUGCUUUUGUUAUGGUUUCUAAGAAAUCACUGCCAAGUUCAAAGUCACAGAGCUCUGAGGCACAGUCUCUUAAAAGGGUUUCCAAACUAUGGCCUGUAAACCUAUUCACGGUCAUGAAAUUAAUUUAGUGAAUUGUAACUCCUAUUAUAUAAUCUUUUAAAGAAUAGAAUAGAACUGGCUGUAGUAGCACAUCCCUAUUAAU